CCCUGAUGGAAAUGAAGAAUACAUGACCAGGACAGUGGAGGACGGCCCUGACGGGAAAUGGAAGAUGUGGUGGAAAUGAAGAAUAAAUGCUGCUCCAUCCUACAAAGAAUGUCCACUGUGUUGUUACCAGAUGCUGAGACGGUACAACCUGCUGACUGAUGCAUACCAUAUCAUCAGCCUUGGAUACAAGUUCCUACUCACCCUCUCAGUUACCCAGGUAGAUCCUACUCACCCUCUCAGUUACCCAGGUAGUUCCUACUCACCCUCAGUUACCCAGGUAGAUCCUACUCACCCUCUCAGUUACCCAGGUAGAUCCUACUCAGCCUCUCAGUUACCCAGGUAGAUCCUACUCACCCUCUCUGUUACCCAGGUAGAUCCUACUCACCCUCUCAGUUACCCAGGUAGAUCCUACUCACCCUCUCAGUUACCCAGGUAGUUCCUACUCACCCUCAGUUACCCAGGUAGUUCCUACUCACCCUCAGUUACCCAGGUAGAUCCUACUCACCCUCUCUGUUACCCAGGUAGUUCCUACUCACCCUCUCAGUUACCCAGGUAGAUCCUACUCACCCUCUCAGUUACCCAGGUAGAUCCUGCUCACCCUCUGUUACCCAGGUAGUUCCUACUCACCCUCUCAGUUACCCAGCUAGAUCCUACUCACCCUCUGUUACCCAAGUAGUUCCUACUCACCCUCUCAGUUACCCAGGUAGUUCCCACUCACCCUCUCAGUUACCCAGGUAGAUCCUACUCACCCUCUCAGUUACCCAGGUAGCUUGUGAAUGAAGUUUCUCUACCUUAAAGUAUAUCAAGAGCAGGGGCUGGUAGUGAUGUAGCUAGGUGGUUGUAUUAGGGGUAGUGAUGUAGCUAGGUGGUUGUAUUAGGGGUUGUGAUGUAGCUAGGUGGUUGUAUUAGGGGUUGUGAUGUAGCUAGGUGGUUGUAUUAGGGGUUGUGGUGUAGCUAGGUGG
rnacentral:lncRNA from 1 species